rnacentral:rRNA from 1 species
GAAGCUGAGUUGCUAGUAAUCGCGAAUCAGCAUGUCGCGGUGAAUACGUUCCCGGGCCUUGUACACACCGCCCGUCACACCAUGAGAGUUGGCAAUACCCAACGUACGUGAUCUAACCCGCAAGGGAGGAAGCGUCCUAAGGUAGGGUCAGCGAUUGGGGUGAAGUCGUAACAAGGUACC